GACCCGUCUUGAAACACGGACCAAGGAGUUUAUCGUGUGCGCAAGUCAUUGGGUGUUGAAAACCCAGAGGCGCAAUGAAAGUGAAGGCAUCCCUCGCGGAGCCGACGUGCGAGCACGGGCACUGCGGUGUCCGAGUGCAGCAUGGCCCCAUCCUGACUGCUUGCAGUGGGGUGGAGGAAGAGCGUACGCGGUGAGACCCGAAUGAUGGUGAACUAU
rnacentral:rRNA from 1 species